AACACAUUGAACAUCGACAACUUGAACGCAUAUGGCGGCCUCGGGUCAAUCCCGAGGCCACGCCCGUCUGAGGGUCGGCAAAACAGUCACUCGCUUUCGGUUGGUGUUCGAGGCCCCUAUCGCCGUCGCAUGGACCAGCGUGAGCACAUCACGCGUCGGCGGCGUUCGGGUGGCCGAGAAAGCGCUCUGGGCCUUCGCGGAUUGCUGUCCUCGUGGCCUCAAGUGUACGCGGCGCGCGCCUCUUUCUGCUCCCCAUGACCUCGGCGGGGAAAAGAGGAGGAAGCCACCGCUCGUUUGCUUCAUCCGCCGGCAGGACUCGGCUCGUGGUAGAUUAAUCGGGCCUGCUCGGUACGUUGCGGUUGUUCAAACGAAGGCGGCGGCGCGCCCUGAAAGUUGCUUAACCAUUCCGACCUCAGAUCGGACGAGAUUACCCGCUGAAUUUAAGCAUAUAACUAAGCGGAGGAAGAGAAACUAACAAGGAUUCCCCUAGUAACGGCGAGUGAAGCGGGAACGGCCCAGCACCGAAUUCCUCAGUGUCACGCUGACGGAAACUGUGGUGUGUGGGACGCCACCAGUCGCAUCAGAGGGCGUCGAAGUCCUCCUGAUCGGGGCUUCACCCAGAGCGGGUGUAAGGCCUUUGCAGGCGCUCCUCUGUGCGACCGCGAGCGUCUCAGGAGUCGGGUUGUUUGGGAAUGCAGCCCAAAGCUGGUGGUAAACUCCAUCUAAGGCUAAAUACGUGCACGAGUCCGAUAGCGGACAAGUACCGUGAGGGAAAGUUGAAAAGAACUUUGAAGAGAGAGUUCAAGAGUACGUGAAACCGCCCAGAGGUAAACGGGUGGAUCCGCAAUGUCGGCCCGCGGAAUUCAGCGCGGCGUGCGGCCCGGGGCUGUCGCGGCAUGGGAUCCCUGGGACCCUGUCGUGAUGUCGAGCCGGGUCCCGCCGCGUGCACUUUCCGCGGGCAGUGUUGGCCAUAACCGGUUCGGAUGGCGGCGAAAAGCCUGGCGGGUUGUCGGUGGGGGCGCUCGAGUCCCUACCAGCCCGUCACGGCGAGCCGCCGCCGGACCGAGGAACAGCCGCUCGCUUCGAGGCGGCCCGCUCCUCAGGGUGAGUUCGACUGGGAGAGACUGGGCAACCGUGUCUUCCGACCGCUCUUCUUCGAUCGGGUCGGGCUAGCCGGGCGAGCGCAAAGGUUGGUGGCGAAUCUGUCGGCAUUCCACCCGACCCGUCUUGAAA
rnacentral:rRNA from 1 species